UACGUAGGGUGCAAGCGUUGUCCGGAAUUAUUGGGCGUAAAGAGCUCGUAGGCGGUUUGUCGCGUCUGGUGUGAAAAUCCAGGGCUUAACCCUGGACCUGCAUCGGGUACGGGCAGACUAGAGUGCGGUAGGGGAGAUCGGAAUUCCUGGUGUAGCGGUGAAAUGCGCAGAUAUCAGGAGGAACACCGGUGGCGAAGGCGGAUCUCUGGGCCGUAACUGACGCUGAGGAGCGAAAGCGUGGGGAGCAAACAGG
rnacentral:rRNA from 1 species